AUGGCUCAUACCGGGGCUGAGGCUGAUUUAGAGGAGGGACAAGAGAAGAAGAAGAAGGAAAGGAAAGCAGCCUGAGCUGCUUUCACGUGGAUUCAAGCAAACUUUGCGCAUUGCCCUGCGGAUGCCACUGAUGAUGUGAUCCAGACACAUGCUCGUGUCUAUAUGUGGUACGUUAUAUCGAGGACUUUGUUUCCUGACGCCACAGGCAAGAACCCUCCAUGGAUGUUGCUGAAGGCGUUGACCGUCUUCAAUAGCAGAUGGAGCUGGGGUUCAUCAACUCUUGCUUACUUGUGCCCACAGGUAGUUGGUUUGUUUUGUUAUCAAUUCAUUUCUUCAUUAGCAAUGCAACCUUGCUGUCAAGUUAACAUUGUUUUCUUUUAUAUGCAACCGGACGAUGUGUGCCGCAGGAUCACAGAUAGUGCAUGCAUUGGUGGUAAUCUGCUUCUACUUUCUGUAUGGAGCCAGGAGUGUCUACGUGUUGGAGGCCUGAAGAGCGUCAAGUUUAAUUCUUGGGAUGAAGAUGAUGAUUUACGGCACCCACUUGGGCUUCCAAGUGGGAUGUGGUAUCCGAUAUGA
rnacentral:rRNA from 1 species